UGAACUUCCUUUCAGUAUGGGUGUGCUUCCUUUCAGCACGGGGUCCACUUCUGUGAGUGGUUUGCUGAGUUCGGCUGAACCUAUCUUCAUGAGGGGCUCUUCUCACCUAACAAGACAGUGCAGGAUGUUUCCAAAGAGCUUUGCAGACUGCUAAAACUUCCCUGAAACCACAGGAAGCUUCAGAAAGGCUGUGGAUGGUGGAGGCAGCAGAAGCCUCCAUGAGAAGUUCAAAGGCUACGGAUGAGGGCAGCUCUCCAGAAGUCCUGCUGCUCUCUGGCUUGGCUGGAAUUGAAGCUGGAAGAUGGGGCGAGCACUUGGAUGCCAUAAAGCUGGCUUGGUCACACCCACAGUGAUGAUCUUGGACCCCAUUAGCCAAAACCUACUAGUGAAGCCCUCCUGUAGUUUAAGCACCAGCUUCCUGAAUCUACUUGAGAGCCAUCCUUGCAAAAUCAUGAGUAGAUUGGGCAGAGGAAAUCAAAAUAUCUGUGACCUAGAGACAAGCUCAGAUUUGUGUUCAUAUGUAAGUCUGAUGUGUACUGGCAUGAAUCUGAAAUGGAGAGCAAGGAUCUGCAGUAAAAUGAUCAGUGGGCAUUAUUAAAAAGGAGGAAAAGGGUGAAGUGUCUUUCCAGCUGUCAGCACACUUGUUGUUCAGUUAGAUUGUCGCUUCUUCAGCCUGCUGCUAAUUUUCCUUUUCAGUAACAGAAACUUGCUUGAAUGCAGAAUGUAAAAUGAGAAAGCUGUGGGAACUGCUUGGAGAGUACAGAUGAGGCCCUGUAGGAACACAUGUGCAUCAGCCACAAAGAGCGAAGAUGCACGUGCAUUUAAGGAUCCGGAUUCUUAGCCCUUAAUGCUGCAUGUCUUUGAUAGCAUUAUGAUGUAUUUUGCACACCAGAAAGACCAUCCUGUGUAUAAAAAUCUCUUCUCUCCAGCCUUGCAAAGCAGUUGGGCACUGGUCCUGCCAGAAAGUCUGUAGAGACUUGAGCAGACCUUUGGCCUCUCUGAAUGUUUGCCAGCCAACAGCAACUGGCAUGAUCAGUGCCUCAAGCUACACCUUGGGAAGUGCUGCUAUUUAUCUCUGCACUUGAUUGCACCCAAUUACUUGCUAAGAACACGUUCUUUGAAAAAAGAUCUGGAGCUGGAUUCUUCUCUCAUUGCGACUCUGCCAGCUGCCGUCCCCAAAGCUAUUUUUAAUCAGACAAGCUUCUCUGUCCCUGCCAAAAAAACUCGUAACAAUUAAUAACAAUAAAAUGAAGGUAGCCUGGAUAAAUGAGUUGCACUUGCUCUAUAAAUCAGCAGCAAAGGCAGCUAGGGAAGAUCAGCGCUGCAUCGCUAAUUCGCUGUCUUCCCUUUCGCUGUAGCCUGGGUCUUCCGGUUCACUCUCGGUCCCUCCGCUUUGCAGUGCCACCAGUCCCCAUGCUGCCUGUGGCAGGUAGGCCAGCAGAUGGGCACGGGCACCUCGGCACAGCGUGUUGCUUUGAUCCAUCUCAUUGCGGAUGUGAGAUGGGUGUGAAUUAUCCCGCUUACGUGCCCGUCACAUUGCACUGCUAAGUUCAUUAAUUCUGGGAGCUGCAAUACUACAAAGAGCUGUGCCCACAGCAGGCUUGGUGGUUAGGUUAAGUCUCUGCACUGUCAUGUCACAGUCUCUGGUGUGAUUAUUUGCCUGCAGGCAUGUGUGUCCCUGUGCUGUGAUCCUGUCAGGAGAUAAGCUGUGUUGGGCUGGAUCAGAGCAUGGACAGGAGGCCUCCAAGGACACGUGGCCAAAGCCAUUUCAGGCAGCAAUCCCAUUAAACAGAAGGUGGUGUUAUGCCCUCUACCUGGGCACAAACUGCUGUUGCCCACAAGUGGUAAGAAAGCAUUCCCCGAUAAUUUUAUUG